rnacentral:tRNA from 1 species
GCGCGGUUAGCUCAGUUGGAUAGAGCGUUGGCCUCCGGAGCCAAAGGCCACAGGUUCGAUUCCUGUACCGCGCACCA